UUCUAAAAGCAAAAUAAUUAUGUAAUUAUUACUCUGGUACACAAAGGGGAUCUUUCUAUUGAUACCAACACUACUCACUACCCACCCCCACCUCCAAAGUUCAAAGCAAUCAAUUGUCUCUGCAACUUACCAACACUACUCACCCCCUCCCCCUCCCCCAAAGUUCAAAAGCAAUCAAUUAUCUCUGCAACUAAAGGUAAUGCACCAAAGAAUCAAGAAAGUUGGGCAUGUUUGGCUAGCCAUCCUAUUUGGAGUUAGGAAAUAAAGGUCUCGUAAAGAUGGCAGUGGGGUAACCAAGGAUCUUGCAGGGGAGGUUCACACAGGCAAUGAUUUGCAGAACCAAAAAAAAAGGAAUAAUGGGUGAGUAAUUCUUAACAAUGCUACAAUAUGCAGAUGGAAAGUGGUCUUGAUUUAAUCAAAAGACAUUUACUUGCAAUUUUAAUGCAAAAGGAGAUAGAUGAGCGGAUCUCAAGCUUUUAUGGGGGGGGGGGAGGUGCACGUGCACCCUGUGCUCCCCCUGGUUACAGCCCUGGAUGGGACAAGGGAAUAAGGUAACCACAUUUAUUUAGCUGAACAACUAUGAUCUUGGACAAUGAAAUAUAUAUUCAUGGGAAAUGAUAAUUUGCCAAAUUUUCCAAUCACACCUUUUCUUUGCUAUUUCACAUAAUCAUUUUGAAAUUCAAUAAAAUAAAUUGAUCCAAAUUAUUCAAUCCAAUAUCAGGCCAGUCUCUAGGUGUGGUUCGAUGGUUUGAACCAACCCCCCACUCUCCACCUUUUUAGGAGUACGCAAAAAUGUUUAUGCUAAGAGGUAAUGCUAUUUUAGUUUUUCGAGAAAUGGCACAACUAAGAUUGGUAGAAAAAUGAACCUCCCCUUUCAAGGUCCUAGCGACAGGCCUGAUUACUAUCCCAAAAUGUUGAGUACCUUGGUUUAGGAGCAGCAAAAAAGUCAUCAUCCUCAUCUUGUUCAUCAUCAUCAAACAAACUAAUAGUAGUUUUACUCUUGGGUCUAGUUUGUGGUUCUGUAUUAGAAGGCUGUGGUUUGGAUGCACUAGGGGAAAAUAGUCCUUCAGGUUCUGCUUCAUCCUCAUCACUAAACAAUCCCCCUCCUGAUUUGGGUUUGGAAGCUUGUUGUUCAGGGGGAGGCUUGGGCGAGGGUUGAACCUGCAAGUAGGAAGUGUACAUAAAAUAAAAGUUGGGUUUGAUCCUUUGAUUUUAUAUUCAAAAUCAAAAUUAAAGUUAUUUAUACCUUGCCAAGAGGUGGCGUCUGGCCUCCAAACAUUGACACAGCUCCUGCUGGAAUCUUGAGAACAAACAUUCAAUUAUUUUUUUUGUAGUUUUAACACUACAAUAAUAUUCUGUAAGGCAUUUAUAUAAGUAUACGUUCUCAGGAGAACUUCUGAUAUUUAUCUGCCACUUAACACUUAAAGCCCUGGCUGAAUGACGAAAUGUUUCCAGGAACAUGCUUACUGCUCAAUAUUGCUCUUUGAUGUUUCAAAGUUUAGCCAUGUAUGGAACAUUGUUGGAGCAUAAAAAAUUUUGCAUAACAAGAGAAGAAAAAUAUGUUUCUGCAGUACAGCAAAACCAUUUCAUGUUUUUACUCCACAUGGAAACAUUGUGACACUAACUUGUUUCCCAAUGUUUCCUGACAUCUUAGCCACCUUGGGAAACAGUUAACAAAACAUGUUUAUGGAAACAUGUUUGGCAAGGAUUUAAUUAUCCUUCCCUUUCUUUUUUCCUUCUGUUUCUUUCCUCUCCCCUCCCAUUUCUCCUAUAGGCAGAACUAUGGCAAGUCAUAUAGAAACUGAGAUCUAUGUAAAAGGUUUUACCUUCUUUUUGGGAGCUUGUGCGGCUGGCUUGCUAGAGAACAAACCAUCACCUUCAUCUUCCUCUUCAUCAUCUCCACCAAACAAGUCAACUGUCUUGGAGGGUUUUUUGGUAACAGGCUUGGAUGGUUCUAAGGAUACAAGAUGACAAAUCCCCAUUUAUCUAGUGCACAUGAAGAGGGCCCAGGGGYGAGUGAAAGUGAGUAGUUGAGAGAGAGGAGUUGACUGUUAUACGGAAGGAGAUCGAGACUGUCCUAGAAUCCCCUCGGGACAGCCAUAAAAAUGUAUGAAAGUAAAGUUUUAAGAAGUAUACAUAUGUAACAGCAACUGCAUACAGCACUGGAACUAUCACUGUUUCCAGUCCAUAUCAAGCUCCAUACAUUAGUGUCAAAGUUGGAGUUGAGAAAGGUCACUCCAUAUAUGGAAUCAUAUAAUUCCAUAUUUGGAUUGCGGGUCUUUACCCUGAGGUCAAAGAUGGUGGACAAGCGUGUUCGUCGGCUGGCGAAAUGGCUGAGAGACAUUUACAAGCUUGGHGAAGAYGAAAAACUACAAAAAACUACAAAAACUACGAAAAAAACAAGCUUCUCCCCAGUUCCUUUUUUUAAGACUGGGAAAGAGAGCUUUGACACUCAUUGUUUGAUAUGUCACAAAAUUGGUUUUGCCUGAACCAGAAUCACCUGGUAGAACACAUUUGAUUAAAAACAUAUUGUAAUGAUAAUGUCUUAGUAUUUAUUAACCAAAGAUCAAUAUUGACUCAUUAGACAAAUGAAUGUAAGCUCUUUGGGGACUUUGCAUGUUUGAAUAAAAACAAUAAUUAAUUAACACACUUCAAUUUUUUGUUUGAUAACAAUUUGAUCUCAUGUUGGCCAAAUACAUGAGUAAUUCAUCUGAACAAAAAUGACAGUUUAUAUUUAUCAUGUCAAUAUUCUCCAUGUGUAAUAUAUAUAUAUAUAUAUAUAUCUUCAUUCAUAAUUUCUUUUAAUUCAUUGUGAUUACAAGGCCUAAUGUAAAUGAAGGAAAUAAAGACUACAGAUGCAAUCAUAAAAAAGGUUGUACCAAGAUAGCCAUAGGAUAUAAAGUUAGCUUUAAUAACAUUGAAAGUGUAGAACUAGAAAUCAUCUACAUUAU